rnacentral:misc_RNA from 1 species
AAGUCGUAACAAGGUUUCCGUAGGUGAACCUGCGGAAGGAUCAUUAACACGUUUAAUCUUAAACGUUAUUAGUCAACCGUGAACCUUUACAUAAACCCUGUGGUUGGGAUAUUAAGUAGACAAAGCUGAGAAUGCUGUUAGAGCUAACCCUCUACCAAUCAGUUAGUCGUUUCUAGGUCCGCCCUGGAAGCUUAUACCAAUACACAGCUGAUCGCCACCACGGAUGGGCUGCAGCAUACCUCGCCCUGGUGGCACAAUAUUAACCCCUUUUUUUAUUAAUUACUAAUUUUUGUCUGUUUAUUGCGAAUUCCUUACUUCGGUUUGUUGAGUUUACUUUAAAUGACAUCAUAUACAUUUAAUACGAAACAACUCUUAGCAACGGAUAUCUUGGUUCUC